UGGGGAAUAUUGCACAAUGGGGGAAACCCUGAUGCAGCAACGCCGCGUGAGUGAAGAAGUAUUUCGGUAUGUAAAGCUCUAUCAGCAGGGAAGAAGAGAGACGGUACCUGACUAAGAAGCCCCGGCUAACUACGUGCCAGCAGCCGCGGUAAUACGUAGGGGGCAAGCGUUAUCCGGAUUUACUGGGUGUAAAGGGAGCGUAGACGGUUGCAUAAGUCUGAAGUGAAAGGCCAAGGCUUAACCAUGGAACUGCUUUGGAAACUAUGAGGCUAGAGUGCUGGAGAGGUAAGCGGAAUUCCUAGUGUAGCGGUGAAAUGCGUAGAUAUUAGGAGGAACACCAGUGGCGAAGGCGGCUUACUGGACAGAAACUGACGUUGAGGCUCGAAAGCGUGGGGAGCAAACAGG
rnacentral:rRNA from 1 species